rnacentral:rRNA from 1 species
UACCAGCACCUCAAGUGGUCAGGAUGAUUAUUGGGCCUAAAGCAUCCGUAGCCGGCUCUGUAAGUUUUCGGUUAAAUCUGUACGCUUAACGUACAGGCUGCCGGGAAUACUGCAGAGCUAAGUAGUGGGAGAGGUAGACGGUACUCGGUAGGAAGGGGUAAAAUCCUUUGAUCUAUUGAUGACCACCUGUGGCGAAGGCGGUCUACCAGAACACGUACGACGGUGAGGGAUGAAAGCUGGGGGAGCAAACCGGAUUAGAUACCCGGGUAGUCCCAGCUGUAAACUAUGCAAACUCAGUGAUGCAUUGGCUUGUGGCCAAUGCAGUGCUGCAGGGAAGCCGUUAAGUUUGCCGCCUGGGAAGUACGUACGCAAGUAUGAAACUUAAAGGAAUUGGCGGGGGAGCACCACAAGGGGUGAAGCCUGCGGUUCAAUUGGAGUCAACGCCAGAAAUCUUACCCGGAGAGACAGCAGAAUGAAGGUCAAGCUGAAGACUUUACCAGACAAGCUGAGAGGUGGUGCAUGGCCGUCGCCAGCUCGUGCCGUGAGAUGUCCUGUUAAGUCAGGUAACGAGCGAGAUCCCUGCCUCUAGUUGCCACCAUUACUCUCAGGAGUAGUGGGGCGAAUUAGCGGGACCGCCGCAGUUAAUGCGGAGGAAGGAAGGGGCCACGGCAGGUCAGUAUGCCCCGAAACUCUGGGGCCACACGCGGGCUGCAAUGGUAACGACAAUGGGUUUCGAAUUCGAAAGGAUGAGGUAAUCCUCAAACGUUACCACAGUUAUGACUGAGGGCUGCAACUCGCCCUCACGAAUAUGGAAUCCCUAGUAACUGCGUGUCACUAUCGCGCGGUGAAUACGUCCCUGCUCCU